rnacentral:misc_RNA from 1 species
AGAAGGAAAGAAGAAGAAGAAGAGGGACGAGCAGCCAGCUUCUGGAUCAGAGUGUGAAUUAGCGCAGAAUCCACACUCAGGGCAGUGCCUCAUUCACUCUGUUUCCUUAAUUUCUAAUUGCAUUUGUUUGGAGGCCAGGUGGCAAUGUUCUCUUUUCCUUUGGAUCAAUGUUUGUUCAGAUGAGUAAUCAACAGUUUAUGAGGACCUUGGGGCAUUUUGUUUAUUAUUUGUGAACUCAGCAGAUGGUUACAAAAACUUAUUGUAAUAUUUUUUUUUUUAAAUUGUCACACAAAUAAAUCAGGGAGGAAAGACUGCUAAUGAAUGUUAAUUGGUUGCUUUGAGUCAUCUAAACAACUGUUUACAUUGGAAUGCUGAAGCUCUAUCUUAAUGACUGAAAGAGUAGGAACGUUGAUGCUUCUGUUACUUAUUGUUGCUUAGUUUGAUUAUAAUUUUUAUACAAAGUACUGUCUCUCUGGGAUUGGGUGUUGUAAAAAAAUUUCCAAGUGGAGAGUAGGGAGCCCCAGCAAUCUCUAUGCAUAAGAAAGCAUAGAACAUAAAAUUACUUUUAAAUCAAUUGUUUCAGAUAUCAAUUUUAAACAUUAUUUGAAGGUCAUAGUUCUGUUAUGCUCUAAGGAGGCUCCAGGUAGACAAGUAGA